rnacentral:rRNA from 1 species
UACGAAGGGGGCUAGCGUUGUUCGGAUUUACUGGGCGUAAAGCGCACGUAGGCGGAUCGUUAAGUCGGGGGUGAAAUCCUGGAGCUCAACUCCAGAACUGCCUUCGAUACUGGCGAUCUUGAGUCCGGAAGAGGUGAGUGGAACUCCUAGUGUAGAGGUGGAAUUCGUAGAUAUUAGGAAGAACACCGGUGGCGAAGGCGGUUCUCUGGGCCUGUUCUGACGCUGAGGAGCGAAAGCGUGGGGAGCGAACAGG